AUUGAACGCUGGCGGCAUGCUUUACACAUGCAAGUCGAACGGCAGCGGGGGCUUCGGUCCGCCGGCGAGUGGCGAACGGGUGAGUAAUGCAUCGGAACGUGCCCAGUCGUGGGGGAUAACACAUCGAAAGAUGUGCUAAUACCGCAUACGUCCUGAGGGAGAAAGCGGGGGAUCUUCGGACCUCGCGCGGACGGAGCGGCCGAUGGCAGAUUAGGUAGUUGGUGGGAUAAAAGCUUACCAAGCCGACGAUCUGUAGCUGGUCUGAGAGGAUGAUCAGCCACACUGGGACUGAGACACGGCCCAGACUCCUACGGGAGGCAGCAGUGGGGAAUUUUGGACAAUGGGCGCAAGCCUGAUCCAGCCAUGCCGCGUGCAGGAUGAAGGCCUCGG
rnacentral:rRNA from 1 species